GCCGUUAGCUCCCUCAUCGGCCGACUCUGCUGAAACAGAAUGAGAAACAUCUUUAACAAACGUCAUGAAACAAGCAGCAGCAGAUUAAUGCUUGAUCUAAGGAGUAAAAAAUAAAAAAAAUAAAAAAUCUCUGAGAUGGAACCUGUCUGACAGCGUGAAGUAGGCUAAGAGGCUUCUAUGAGUCUGGAAAGUCUUUUCUACGCUACUCGGAGUCCAGAGUCCCACAGUGGGAGUCAUUACCCACCAAUGGUAAAAACUCUCGGGAGUGAACAGCUGACUGAAAUUACUUUAAGAGCGUGUCAACGACAGGCCGUCACAGAAGAACCCAGAACAUUAUGGAAAGCACUGCUGACGAUGCUAAUGAUUUAACACUAAGAAAGAGAGACGGCCAUGAAAAGAGAACUCAUGGAAGAGUUACACGGAGAAAAUCCCUCCAUGUUUUCUCCCGCAAAGAAAUAAAAUAAUUCGAAACAUGG